rnacentral:rRNA from 1 species
CGAGCGAACAGAUAAGGAGCUUGCUCCUUUGACGUUAGCGGCGGACGGGUGAGUAACACGUGGGUAACCUACCUAUAAGACUGGGACAACUUCGGGAAACCGGAGCUAAUACCGGAUAAUAUGUUGAACCGCAUGGUUCAAUAGUGAAAGAUGGUUUUGCUAUCACUUAUAGAUGGACCCGCGCCGUAUUAGCUAGUUGGUGAGGUAACGGCUCACCAAGGCAACGAUACGUAGCCGACCUGAGAGGGUGAUCGGCCACACUGGAACUGAGACACGGUCCAGACUCCUACGGGAGGCAGCAGUAGGGAAUCUUCCGCAAUGGGCGAAAGCCUGACGGAGCAACGCCGCGUGAGUGAUGAAGGUCUUAGGAUCGUAAAACUCUGUUAUUAGGGAAGAACAAACGUGUAAGUAACUGUGCACGUCUUGACGGUACCUAAUCAGAAAGCCACGGCUAACUACGUGCCAGCAGCCGCGGUAAUACGUAGGUGGCAAGCGUUAUCCGGAAUUAUUGGGCGUAAAGCGCGCGUAGGCGGUUUUUUAAGUCUGAUGUGAAAGCCCACGGCUCAACCGUGAGGGUCAUUGGAAACUGGAAAACUUGAGUGCAGAAGAGGAAAGUGGAAUUCCAUGUGUAACGGUGAAAUGCGCAGAGAUAUGGAGGAACACCAGUGGCGAAGGCGACUUUCUGGUCUGUAACUGACGCUGAUGUGCGAAAGCGUGGGGAUCAAACAGGAUUAG